AGCUUCGUCGUGCCUCCAACCAUAAUCCCAGAACUUCAUCGCGCUUCCAACCCCUACUUCGCCGCUCCCUCCAUCGACGCUCCCUCCGUCUCAAAGCCUCCGUCGUGCUCACUCUCUCGUAAGCCUUCAAACGUCGCUCCUUCCUCCAUGGCUGAAACCCGUAAUGCUCUGUUUUUCCUCCUGCGUCGCCGGUCUCCGUCUCCUCCUGCGUGUGGCUGUGCUGAAGCUCCAUGGGAAAGAUAUACAACGGAUUCCAUGGGUGAAGCUUAACCACGGCUACAGAAGUACCGCUUGACUCGAUUGAAGCAGUACAAGAACUACGAGAACCUCUCGUUCUCGUGAGGAUCUCGACAAGGAGUGUUUGGAAGUGCAGAAGGAGAAGGCCUUCUGUAUUGGCACCACUUGGGGAGCCAGUACCUAUUGAAUCCAACAUGAGUAGCUUUUAUGGGAAGAACAAGAAUAGUAACCCUUUUUUUUUUGUUUUACAAUUCUUUCUUUUUCUUUCUCCAUAGUAUAUGCUUCUUUAUAUAUAUCCCUCAAAUUGUU